GGGGAUUCAUGUAUAAAAGCUUUCUUCUGGCUAGCAAUGGCCACAGAGACCACCAUAUUCGUUCAACCACUUGACCGCCACCAGAUUACAGGAGAUACGAGAACAACCCCAUUUCAGCAUGCGCUACAUUGUGUUUCUGGUGGCUUUUGCCUAUGGGGUCUGCUGCGAUGAAAACCUGCCGUCUCAGUUUCUAUUGCAACUAAAGAACAAACGCGGCAUCAACGACCACUCGCUGACUUUUCCGUCGGAAUCUUCCUCCUAUUCAACGCCUGUUCACUCGAGCCUUAGUUCCGGUUACGGGCUAGGUGGAUCGUCCGGUGGCUUCUCCCUAGGGCAUGCCGGAGCACUUCUCAACUCAGGCGGCUCCGUCGGGCACGGAAUUGGAUAUCCUUUAGCGUCGUCCGGUAGCCUCGGUCUCGGAUACCAAUCGCCAGGACUGAGCCACGGCCCCUUGAGUCACCAGAGUGUCUCUUUGGGCGGACACUCGGCUCAAAGCACCUACUCGGUGCCCAGCAUAGCGAAUUUGGGAAGCGGCGGCAGUAGCAACGGGCUUUUCGCGCCGUCGAAAACUGGUCCCGUUACCUUCGGAAUCCACGGUGGCGGCGGUAGCGGCAGCACUUCCGGUUCUAGCUCGUAUAGAGCGCCGGUCUAUGCUUCCGGCGGACACAGACUCUCGUCUUACAGCAACGGAGAAUCAUCGAACUCUCUUGGUUUUCAGAUCGUGUUGGGUGGCUCCUCGGGUACCUCGUCAAGCUACAAUCUUCCUACUCACUCCGCAACCUCGAGUCCUUCGCAUUCCGUGACGGGUGGCCUGGUUAUCGCCGGUUCACACGGCGGUUCCCCCAGCAGCUCCUACAGUCUCCCAACAUCCGCAUCCUCUCACGGCAUUUCCACUCUUGGCGGCUCUUCAAACGCUCACAGUACGCCAUCUUCGUUUACCUAUCCGAUUAACUCUGGAUCUCACGAAAUCUCUACGUUGUCUGGCGAUGGAUCCUCCGGUUAUGCCAGCCCCUCAGGAUCCUAUGGCUCCUCCAGCACUCACCCCGGAUUCUCCGGCGUGUCGUCCGGCGGUUCCAGUUACCAGCUACCGAUCUCUUCGGGAUCUCACUCAGGAUCGGCCAAUGGCGUCACAUACACGACUUACGUGCCGUCCCAUUCGUCUGGUAACAGUGCCAGCUACUCCAGCCCCAGCGUCUCUUACGCGACUCCAAAUGUCAACCACGCAGGAUCUAUUGGGCCCAGUUACUCCAACGCCGAUGUCAGCUAUUCCCUCAGUGUGAACCACGUGGGUUCCAGUUCCAGCCCCAUCACAGCUUAUACCGGAAAUCGCGGAUAUACUCCCACGUAUUACAGUUCGCCCAGUUCUCAUGGGGCACUCGCGGAUUCUCAUGGAUCUUACGCCAGCGUAAGCCCGAAAUAUGUCGGAUACGUUCCUGGGACGAAGUUUUACCAUGCGGACGCGGAUAGCGCAAAGUAUGACACGAUCUCGUACUCGGUUCCAUUCGGAAAAUAUUAAUUUAUGUAAUUUUGUAAAUUUCUUUACAAUUUUCUUACGUCGCAUUGCUAGGAUUCGAUAACAGCUUACGAUUUUAUUAUUAAUUACAAGGCCCGUGUUCGGGUCUCGUGACAAACGGGCGAUUCAACUCCGAAUGCGUCGUAAAUAUGAGAUUGUCUAAUUACUUAAUCUUAUGCUGACUCGAUCUUGCCAUGAGAAAUGGUAGUGUCCCAAAGUAGUUCACGUAUGUUGUUGAGAAUAAAAAUAGUGAAUUAUUUAUAUUUAAAUUUUUUUUUACCGUACGAUUUAUAUAGAGACAGAAAUCUGUACUGCAAUCGUACCGAAAUACCGAACUGUUAUCUAUAUUUAUAUCAUUGACAAAUGUUGUAGAAUAUUCCUUUCUUUGUUAUCUCUUGUAUCACUGACAAUUGUGAUAUUGUUACAUAAUUUUAUAUUUUCUUUUGUAAUAAAUGAGUUGAUUUUCCAACGCACACACCAGAAAA